AUACGGAGGAUGCGAGCGUUAUCCGGAUUUAUUGGGUUUAAAGGGAGCGUAGGUGGGAUAUUAAGUCAGCUGUGAAAGUUUGGGGCUCAACCUUAAAAUUGCAGUUGAUACUGGUUUCCUUGAGUACGGUACAGGUGGGCGGAAUUCGUGGUGUAGCGGUGAAAUGCUUGGAUAUCACGAAGAACUCCGAUCGCGAAGGCAGCUCACCGGGCCGGAACUGACACUGAUGCUCGAAAGUGCGGGUAUCAAACAGGAUUAGAUACCCUGGUAGUCCGCACAGUAAACGAUGAAUACUCGCUGUUUGCGAUACACUGUAAGCGGCCAAGCGAAAGCGUUAAGUAUUCCACCUGGGGAGUACGCCGGCAACGGUGAAACUCAAAGGAAUUGACGGGG
rnacentral:rRNA from 1 species